rnacentral:tRNA from 1 species
GAGGGUAGAGCUCAAGUGGUAGAGCUCAUGCUUAGCAUGCAUAAGGUCCUGGGUUCAAUCCCCAGCACCUCCU